AUGGAUCCCGGCGGCGGCGGCGGCGCCAGCGCCGCCAACCUCCCUGUGGACAUGCUAGCCAACAUCCACGGCCGCCUGAGCCUCCUAGACCGGCUCUCUUUCGCCGCAGCCUCCCACUCCUCGCGCGGCGCAUUCCGGCCGGAGGUGCCGUGCCUCGUCCUUCCCGCCGACCCGUGGAGUCUGGGACCCUCGCCUGACGGUGUCGAGGAUGCUGUCCACCACGAGGGCAGGUUCUACUCGAUCACAUGCUUGGGCAAGAUGGAGGAGUGGCGGCAGCAGGAUGCCGACACCAUGUUCGCGAGCACGGUGGUCGAGCCAGCGCUUCAGCUGGCGCCGGCCGACACGCACAACUGCAAGUACCUCGUGGUGACGCCGGGCGGACGGCUGAUGGUCAUGCUCAAGACCAAGGAGACCACGGGUUGGCGGACACCAUUGUCCUUCAAGGUGCAGGUCCUCGGCGCGGGCGCCAAGGAGUGGAUGGAGACGGACGACAUUGGCGACGCCGCGCUGUUCGUCGGGGCGAAGGGUUCGUUGUGUGUGUCGACGAGGGAGCACCCGGAGCUCAGGGCCGGCUGUGUCUACUAUGCCGCCCACGGCGGCGUCGUGGUGUUGAGCCUCAAGGGCGGCACGGUGAAGGAGGUCGAUGGCCUCUGGACGGACCACAGCUGGCUGGAGUGGUUCACGCCGUGCAUUUCACGAUAG
rnacentral:rRNA from 1 species